GAUGAACGCUGGCGGCGUGCUUAACACAUGCAAGUCGAACGGAAAGGCCCAAGCUUGCUUGGGUACUCGAGUGGCGAACGGGUGAGUAACACGUGGGUGAUCUGCCCUGCACUUCGGGAUAAGCCUGGGAAACUGGGUCUAAUACUGGAUAGGACCACUUCUUGGAUGGGGUGGUGGAAAGUUUUUUCGGUGUGGGAUGAGCUCGCGGCCUAUCAGCUUGUUGGUGGGGUAAUGGCCUACCAAGGCGUCGACGGGUAGCCGGCCUGAGAGGGUGUACGGCCACAGUGGGACUGAGAUACGGCCCAGACUCCUACGGGAGGCAGCAGUGGGGAAUAUUGCACAAUGGGCGCAAGCCUGAUGCAGCGACGCCGCGUGGGGGAUGACGGCCUUCGGGUUGUAAACUCCUUUCGCUAGGGACGAAGCGUUUUUGUGACGGUACCUGGAGAAGAAGCACCGGCUAACUACGUG
rnacentral:rRNA from 1 species